UUCACACAUUGAUGGUAGAAGCUGCCAUGCAAGGCGCUAACCACGACCCAUCAGGAGUAGUUAGGGGUCUUGCUCAGGGACACCUCGACAUGAACACGACGGGCCGAGGAUCGAACCAGCAACCUUCCAGUUACAACAUAGCCACUCUACCCACUGAUCCAUGCCACCCCCAUUACUAUCUAUGUUAUUAACUACUUUAUUAUUUACAUUAUUACUGACAUUAUUUCUGGCAUUACAUCAUUAACUACAUUAUUACUGACAUUUUUUUUCUACAGUGUUAUUUACAUUGUUAUCUACAUUAUGACAUCACCCAGGUGAGGGUGGAGUUUGGAGCUGGAAUCUGAAGGAAUGAAAGUUGAGAAACGGUUUCUGUCCAACCGGUCGGAGACGAUGAGUUCACUGACGUCGGCUGAAGUCGUCACUAAUGAACACAUGUCGGAAAUAAAGAAAUCAGACGAUGAACUCAGAUAUUCAAAGACAGAAAUAAAAAGCACUUCAGUUCCCUCAGCAAAUAAACGUGAACAGAAGAUGAAGUGCAGCAGAAAAGAUUAAUUUUAGACUCUAAUAAAUGUAGAAGUUUGACAGCAGCAGGGUGGUGAAGCUCCAUAGAGAAUGAACAGAGAGAGAGAGAGGGAGUGUCAGCCAGUCAGACAGGUUUGGGCGAGGUGGACGAGUUAGCUUCACUCACAUUCUGAAGGCAGGAGAGAGAGAGAGAGAAAGAGAGGCAGAAAGAUUUGUUGUUUCCUUCACCUCUACUUUAUCUCUACUGCAGAUAAGAAGAAACAAAGAAAGAUUGCAGCUACGAAGAAAGCUGGAUUUCUGUGAAGAACCAGGAGAUUCCAGAAGAAGAAGAAGAAGCAGCAGGUGGAGGUUUGAACAGUUCUCCAUAGAGCUCGCUCGCCCUGGCUGAUUAAUUAGCUUUAGCCACCACCCUCCUGUGACUCAUCACCAUGUCAUCAAACAUCAACGUCUCCCUGGACAACCCGUAUGGUGAGGUCACCAUCCCUCGGGCGAAGCUCCGCCCCUCUGAUGACAGCAUGGUGAUAGCCAAUCCAAUGGCUCUGAGCAGCACCAAUGAGAACCCGUAUGCCGUGUCAAGCUCCGCCCCUCCGCCAUAUAUGGUCAAGGAAGACGGAGGGGGGGAGGAGGAGGAAGGGCGGUGCCGUGCCUGCUGCUACCGCUGCAGAAGGAAGUGAUGUCACUGCUGCAUUUGGUGAUGUCACUGCGCCAGAAGGACUGUGAUUGGUUUAUGUGCUCCCCUUAAGGAAACAAUGAAGAAAGAGAGGAAACAAGGAAACAGCUGAGGAGAUGAAAAAGAGAAGGAAGGAAGGAAGGAUGGAAGGAAAGAAUGAAAGAUAGAAGGAAAGAUGGAAGGAAGGAAGGAAGGAAGGAAGGAAGGAGAGAAGGAAGUAAAGAAGGAAGGAAGAAAGGAAGGAAGGAAGGACAGAAGGAAAGAAAAGAAGGAAGAAAGGAAAGAAGGAAGGAAGGAAGGAAGGAAGGAAGUAAAGACGGAAGGAAGGAAGGAAAGAAGGAAGAAAGGAAGGAUGCAUUGAGGAAGUUGCUUGCUUGGCGGUAAUUUUGUGAAUAAAUGUGUGUAAAUAUUUGGUGUUUGUGUAGUUUUAGUAUAUUUAGUGUUUUGUAUAAUAAUGAUUAUUCUAUUAUUAUUAUUGGUUUUAUUAUUAUUGUUAUUAUUAUUGUUGCUGUUAUUAUUAUUUAGUACAUUUAAUGUUUAUUUAGUUUAAGAGAGAAUCUGAAUCAGAAAUCCAGCAGAGAAGCUGAAAGCUGAGGAACCACCACAAUCCUGGAAACCUGAUGGUAGAGGCCCUGGAGUUUUCAGAUAAUAAAUAUAAAAAUAUGAAAACUGAUAAAUCCCGAAACAAGAUGGCCGCCGCCGACCUCAUUUCUCUGCUGUUGCCAUGACGAGGACUCAAACACUUGGUUUUACUGCUGCCAAAGUUUUAAAAUAAAUUCAAAUUCCUGUAAUGGAAUCUUUCAUGUGUUUUAUAGAUUGGUAGUUUGAUCAUUCUGCUUUGCUAUUUUAAAUAGUCUUAUGCUUUAUAUUUGACACACUGAACGUUUCAUUCUUGUUUUUAAUCCGUGUUUUGAUCCCUUCUGAACUUUGAGGAUUCUUUCCAACUGAAAUGAUUUUGAACUCUUUGGAUUAAUUUGGAUGAAGUGGAUGUAAAAUAAAGUUCUGCAAAGUUUGAUGUGUUUUAAAACAAUAAGUUGGUUGUUUUCUAUGUAUUUUAAUCAUUUAGACUCGGUUCUUUCGUUAAGUGUUUUUCCAUCAAGUAUUUAUAUUUUCAGUGAACAUUUAGUUGUGAAUGUAGAACAGACGUUAUCAUGUUUAAUAAAGUUUUUAUUAUUGUGAAUCACAAUAACGAGACGAAAAAAUAAAGGAUUUGAAAAGUUU